UGGAAAGGCUCCUUGCCAGAGGUUGUAAUAUGAAUGGGCUCAAAGGACGGGUUGGAUUCCAAAGGGAGAGGCCUCGUAAGCCAAGACGGAGAGGUGGAGGGCACAAAGAUAUCUCUGUGAUCAGAUACGCACUUGGCUGGGCUGAAGCCCGGGUGCAGGUUGGGGAGUAGUGGAGGACAGGCUUGAGAAACUGAAGCUUUAUGGUUUGCUUACUGGCUUUGCUUACUGUCUAGAACAGCCUGUACCGAAUUUAAGAAACAAGAAGCCGCAGAACAUAACAGAGCUGUGCCUUGAGAAGACGAAGUGGGCAGUUCUAUGCAGGUUCAUGGAAGAAAGGAAAGGUCGGGCUUUCAGGGACCAUUGGAAAGGCUACUGCCUCACACGUCUGAGGUAGCACGAUGGAUAUAAAAAGAAACAAGAGACAAAAAUGGAAGUAUAAUUAAGUAAAGAUGACAACAGGCCUAAUUUUGUGGUCUUUCCUCUACUGAUCUCCAGCAUGUAGCAGGGCGAUUAGGAAGAUAAAACGCAUCUGUAGCGAUCUCCAGAUAACCUUACACGGGCAUCCAGACAAUAUCCAGAGAAAGAAGGAACAUGUCUGAAUGCUGGUUCCACGGAGCACACCAAGAAACAGCCAGUACACGGAAGAAGCCAGUAAAUUUACUGGCCAAACUUUCAUCAAUGAUAAAAUGCGAUUAAUAGAAUAAAAAGAGCAUGGAAAUAAA